GGCAAUAUCUGGUAUUUAGGAUAAUGAUAAAGCAUAAGGGGAUAAUAAUAGAAAUG
rnacentral:sRNA from 1 species